CGAUCUUGAAUUAUUAAUUCUGCCUUCAUGUGCUAUUGGAAAUUUCCUACUUCCCACUUCUGUAGUCGUGAUUACGAGCUUAUCGCAUUCAAAAUUUGACUUGAGAGGGCAUUCAUGCCCAAUUUUUUAACUAAGAAACUAGUCUUUACGAUAAUUCCGAUAGCACAUGAAGGCAGCAAAAUAUUUCGAAAGUUCGGAUACUGUGUGGCAAAGCUGUUUGAGAGGAUCACUCCGCACUUAUUACAUACAAUACUAUAGCUAGUUGAUGACCAGAAGCAAAGCCGCGGUGGUUUUGAUGGAAGAAUGAAGAGCAACAUGGCAAUGAAGACUGCAACUGUAGCAUCUGUCACAUAUCUAAAUGUGUGUGUUGCCCAGCCUGCCACAAAUCCAGGAUCUCGAGUAAACCACAACGCCACAAGCAAACUGAAGAGAGCCAGAACGCUGAGUUCACCAAAACACAUUGGUCCCAGCAGAAGAUGCUGUUCCCGGAUCACAUUGUAGGCAGCUAUUUCCUUCUCAGAUUUUACCGCCCCACAUCCCCAUGUCUUCUUAAUGCUGAGGAUGUGAACAAAGCGCUUCAUGAAAGGAAUGGAAAAAGCAAAGGGGCCUGGGGCCGCUCCUCACUGCAGGUCAUCUGUGAAGGCUCUGUCUCCUGUUUGUUCAGCUGUUCCAGCACAGCCUGCACAAUGGGGACCAUCAUGGCCGUGGUAGCCGUAUUACUGAUCCACAUGGAGAGGAAAGCUGUCACCCCC